rnacentral:rRNA from 1 species
UCAGGAUGAACGCUAGCUACAGGCUUAACACAUGCAAGUCGAGGGGCAGCAUGUUGGUUGCUGCAACCAAUGAUGGCGACCGGCGCACGGGUGAGUAACGCGUAUCCAACCUUCCCCUUAGUAGAGGAUAGCCCGGCGAAAGUCGGAUUAAUACUCUAUGUUCUUCAAUGCGGACAUCUAAGUUGAAGCAAAGAUUUAUCGCUAAGGGAUGGGGAUGCGUCUGAUUAGGUUGCAGGCGGGGUAACGGCCCACCUGGCCUACGAUCAGUAGGGGUUCUGAGAGGAAGGUCCCCCACACUGGUACUGAGACACGGACCAGACUCCUACGGGAGGCAGCAGUGAGGAAUAUUGGUCAAUGGGCGCGAGCCUGAACCAGCCAAGUAGCGUGCAAGGACGACUGCCCUAUGGGUUGUAAACUGCUUUUAUCAGGGAAUAAAGUGAGGCACGCGUGCCUUUUUGUAUGUACCUGAUGAAUAAGGACCGGCUAAUUCCGUGCCAGCCGCCGC